UACGGAGGGUGCAAGCGUUAUCCGGAUUCACUGGGUUUAAAGGGCGCGUAGGAGGGCAGGCAAGUCAGUGGUGAAAUCUUCGAGCUUAACUCGGAAACUGCCGUUGAUACUAUCUGUCUUGAAUCCCGUGGAGAUGAGCGGAAUAUGUCAUGUAGCGGUGAAAUGCUUAGAUAUGACAUAGAACACCAAUUGCGAAGGCAGCUCGUUACACGAAGAUUGACUCUGAGGCACGAAAGCGUGGGGAUCAAACAGG
rnacentral:rRNA from 1 species